AGUAACGCGUGGGUAACCUGCCCUUAAGUCUGGGAUACCAUUUGGAAACAGAUGCUAAUACCGGAUAAAAGCUACUUUCGCAUGAAAGAAGUUUAAAAGGCGGCGUAAGCUGUCGCUAAAGGAUGGACCUGCGAUGCAUUAGCUAGUUGGUAAGGUAACGGCUUACCAAGGCGAUGAUGCAUAGCCGAGUUGAGAGACUGAUCGGCCACAUUGGGACUGAGACACGGCCCAAACUCCUACGGGAGGCAGCAGUG
rnacentral:rRNA from 1 species